rnacentral:rRNA from 1 species
UUUAUUUGAGAGUUUGAUCCUGGCUCAGGAUGAACGCUGGCGGCGUGCCUAACACAUGCAAGUUGAGCGAUUUACUUCGGUAAAGAGCGGCGGACGGGUGAGUAACGCGUGGGUAACCUACCCUGUACACACGGAUAACAUACCGAAAGGUAUGCUAAUACGGGAUAAUAUAUUUGAGAGGCAUCUCUUGAAUAUCAAAGGUGAGCCAGUACAGGAUGGACCCGCGUCUGAUUAGCUAGUUGGUAAGGUAACGGCUUACCAAGGCGACGAUCAGUAGCCGACCUGAGAGGGUGAUCGGUCACAUUGGAACUGAGACA